UACGUAGGGCGCAAGCGUUAUCCGGAAUUAUUGGGCGUAAAGAGCUCGUAGGCGGUUUGUCGCGUCUGCCGUGAAAGUCCGGGGCUCAACUCCGGAUCUGCGGUGGGUACGGGCAGACUAGAGUGCAGUAGGGGAGACUGGAAUUCCUGGUGUAGCGGUGAAAUGCGCAGAUAUCAGGAGGAACACCGGUGGCGAAGGCGGGUCUCUGGGCCGGAACUGACGCUGAGGAGCGAAAGCGUGGGGAGCGAACAGG
rnacentral:rRNA from 1 species